rnacentral:rRNA from 1 species
CCACCUUUGACAUGGCAGGAAGGCUCCAGAGAUGGGGCUGUCUCGAAAGAGAACCUGCACACAGGUGCUGCAUGGCUGUCGUCAGCUCGUGUCGUGAGAUGUUGGGUUAAGGCCCGCAACGAGCGCAACCCUUGUGUUUAGUUGCCAACAGGUUAAGCUGUGCACUCUAAACAGACUGCCGUGGAUAACACGGAGGAAGGUGGGGAUGACGUCAAAUCAUCAUGCCCCUUAUGAUCUGGGCUACACACGUGCUACAAUGGUCGGUACAACGGGCAGCGAAAGAGUAAUCUGGAGCGAAUCCUAAAAAGCCGAUCCCAGUUCGGAUUGUGGGCUGAAACUCGCCCACAUGAAGUUGGAGUUGCUAGUAAUCGCGAAUCAGAAUGUCGCGGUGAAUGCGUUCCC